rnacentral:rRNA from 1 species
GUUGUAUAGUCAAGUAAUUAAGUGCAUGUGGUGGAUGCCUUGGCAGUCAGAGGCGAUGAAAGACGUGAUAGCCUGCGAAAAGCUCCGGGGAGGCGGCAAAUAUCCUUUGAUCCGGAGAUGUCUGAAUGGGGGAACCCACCUACUUUAAGGUAGGUAUUGCAACAUGAAUACAUAGUGUUGCAAGGCGAACGAGGGGAAGUGAAACAUCUCAGUACCCUUAGGAAAAGAAAUCAAUUGAGAUUCCCUCAGUAGCGGCGAGCGAACGGGGAUCAGCCCAUUAAGUUAUGUGUGUUUUAGUGGAACGCUCUGGGAAGUGCGAACGUAGAGGGUGAUAUUCCCGUACACGAAAGGGCACACAUAAUGAUGACGAGUAGGGCGAGGCACGUGAAACCUUGUCUGAAUAUGGGGGGACCAUCCUCCAAGGCUAAAUACUCCUGACUGACCGAUAGUGAACCAGUAC